AACGUAGGACGCAAGCGUUAUCCGGAGUUACUGGGCGUAAAGCGUGCGCAGGCGGUUAUGUAAGACAGGUGUGAAAUCCCCGGGCUUAACCUGGGAACUGCAUUUGUGACUGCAUAGCUAGAGUACGGUAGAGGGGGAUGGAAUUCCGCGUGUAGCAGUGAAAUGCGUAGAUAUGCGGAGGAACACCGAUGGCGAAGGCAAUCCCCUGGACCUGUACUGACGCUCAUGCACGAAAGCGUGGGGAGCAAACAGG
rnacentral:rRNA from 1 species